GAAUUGCUACUCAAGAAAAGAACUCUAGAAAAUUCAGAGUUCCUGAUUCAGAUCGGAAAUCUGAAAGAGGAGCUAGCGAACAAGGCUGUGGAUCAGCAGAGAACAAUGGAAGAGAAGGAGUGUUUGGUAUCGAAGGUGAAGGACCUGGAAUUGGAGAUGGACUCCAUAAGGAACCACAAAAGCGAACUGGAUGAGCAGCUACGCAGUAAACACCAUGAGUACAAUCAGUUGAGAGAGGAAAAGGAGGGCUUGCAUGUUAGGAGUUUUGACUUGGAGAAAACAAUAACAGAGAGAGGGGACGAGCUCUCUGCUCUGCAGAAGAAGUUUGAGGAUACAGAGAAUGAAGCAUCAGCUCGAAUCGUGGCAUUAACAGCAGAGGUUAACAGUCUGCGAGUGGAGAUGGAUUCUUUGCAAGCUCAGAAAGGUGAAUUGGAAGAACAGCUGAGACGCAGGGGCGAUGAAGCAUCAGAUCAGAUCAAGGACUUGAUGGGCCAGGUCAGUGAAACGAAACAGGAAUUGGAAUCUCUACACAGCCAGAAAACAGAAAAGGAAUUGCUACUCGAGAAAAGAACUCAAGAAAAUUCAGGGUUCCUGAUUCAGAUAGGAAAUCUGAAAGAGGAGCUAGCGAACAAGACUGUGGAUCAGCAGAGAAUGCUGGAAGAGAAGGAGAGUUUGGUAGCAAAGGUGAAGGACCUGGAAUUGGAGAUGGACUCCAUCCAGAACCACAAAAGCGAACUCGAGGAGCAGCUAAGCAGUAAACACCAUGAGUACAAUAAGUUGAGUGAGGAAAAGGAGGGUCUGCAUGUUAGGAGUUUUGACUUAGAGAAAACAUUAACAGACAGAGGGAAUGAGUUAUCUGCUCUCCAGAAGAAACUUGAGGAUGGGGCGAGUGAAGCAACUGCUCAAAUUCUGGCCUUAACAACACAAGUCAACAAUCUGCAACAAGACAUGGAAACCUUGAUUGCACAGAAAAGUGAAUUGGAGGAUCAAAUAGUGAGCAAAAGCAAUGAAGCUUCAGCUGAAAUCAAGGGCUUAAUGGACCGGAUCACUGAGAUGCAACAGGAAUUGGAUUCUCUAAGCAGCCAGAAAACCGAAAUGGAAUCACAGCUCGAGGGAAAAGUUCAAGAAAAUUCAGAAUACUUUAGUCAAAUAGGAAGUCUGAAAGACGAGCUAGUGAGCAAGGCUGCGGAUCAGCAGAGAAUGCUGGAAGAGAUAGAGAGUUUAACAGCACGGUUAAAGCACCUGGAAAUGGAGAUAGAGUUGAUUCGGAAACACGAAUGCGAACUUGAAGAGCAUAUAAGAGCCAAAGACCUGGAGUUCAAUCAGUUGAGAGAGGAAAAGGAGGGCUUGCACGUUAGGAGUUUUGACUUGGAGAAAACAAUUACAGACAGAGGGGAUGAGCUGUCUGCUCUACAACAGGAGCUGCAUUCCUUGCAGAAUGAGAAAAGCCAAUUGGAGUUAGAGAUCCAAAGACAUAAAGAAGAAUCUUCGGAAAGCCUGACGGAAUUGGAGAAUCAGAGGAUGGAGUUAACCAGCAAGGUUGAAGAACAUCAGAGAAUGCUAAGAGAACAGGAAGAUGCAUUCAACAAGUUAAUGGAGGAGUACAAACAAUCUGAAGGUUUGUUUCACGAGUUCAAGAAUAACCUGCAAGUCACAGAAAGGAGGUUGGAAGAAAUGGAGGAAGAGUCCCGCAUUCACCUUGAAUCCAAAGCCCACAUAAUUGCUGAUUUUGAAACCAUGGUUGAAGACCUGAAAAGAGACCUAGAAGUCAAAGGAGAUGAACUCAGUACUUUGGUGGAGGAGGUCCGCAAUAUCGAAGUUAAGCUCCGCUUAUCAAACCAGAAGCUCCGUGUCACAGAACAAUUACUAUCCGAGAAAGAAGAGAGCUACAGGAGAGCAGAAGAGAGGUUCCAGCAAGAAAACAGGGCACUUGAAGGAAAAGUUGCAGUAUUAUCAGAAGUAAUUACUUCCAACAAUGAAUCCCAUGUCAGGAUGAUCACAGAUAUCUCAGAGACAGUAAACAAUACCUUAGCUGGA
rnacentral:lncRNA from 1 species